UACAGAGGGGGCUAGCGUUGUUCGGAAUUACUGGGCGUAAAGGGCGCGUAGGUGGCCUGUUAAGUCGAACGUGAAAUCCCCGGGCUCAACCUGGGAACUGCAUCCGAAACUGCCUUGCUCGAGUAUGGGAGAGGGAAGUGGAAUUUCCGGUGUAGCGGUGAAAUGCGUAGAUAUCUGGAGGAAUACCGGUGGCGAAGGCGGCAUCCUGGACCAACAUUGACGCUGAGGAGCGAAAGCUAGGGGAGCAAACGGG
rnacentral:rRNA from 1 species